GCCUGGACAGCUCAGUUGGUUAGAGCAUGGAACUGGUAACACCAAGGUUGCAGGUUUGAUCCCUGUAUGGGACA